rnacentral:rRNA from 1 species
UACGAAGGGGGCUAGCGUUGCUCGGAAUCACUGGGCGUAAAGCGCACGUAGGCGGCUUUCUAAGUCAGGGGUGAAAUCCUGGAGCUCAACUCCAGAACUGCCUUUGAUACUGGAGAGCUUGAGUCCGGGAGAGGUGAGUGGGAACUCCGAGUGUAGAGGUGAAAUUCGUAGAUAUUCGGAAGAACACCAGUGGCGAAGGCGGCUCACUG